CGUGAUCCGCCCUUCGGGGUGGUGAAAGUGGCGCACGGGUGAGUAACGCGUGGAUAAUCUGCCCGAGGAUUUGGGAUAACAUCUCGAAAGGGGUGCUAAUACCGAAUAAGCCCACGGGGUCUACGGAUCUUGCGGGAAAAGGGGGGGACCUUCGGGCCUCCUGUCCUUGGAUGAGUCUGCGUACCAUUAGCUAGUUGGUGGGGUAAUGGCCUACCAAGGCGACGAUGGUUAGCUGGUCUGAGAGGAUGAUCAGCCACACUGGAACUGAGACACGGUCCAGACUCCUACGGGAGGCAGCAGUGGGGAAUUUUGCGCAAUGGGGGAAACCCUGACGCAGCAACGCCGCGUGGGUGAUGAAGGCCUUCGGGUCGUAAAGCUCUGUCUGGAGGGAAGAAAUGAUUGGGAGCUAAUACCUCUUGAUCUUGACGGUACCUCUGAAGGAAGCACCGGCUAACUCCGUGCCAGCAGCCGCGGUAAUACGGAGGGUGCAAGCGUUGUUCGGAAUUAUUG
rnacentral:rRNA from 1 species